rnacentral:rRNA from 1 species
UACAGAGGGGCAAGCGUUGUUCGGAAUUACUGGGCGUAAAGGGCGCGUAGGCGGCCCGCUAAGUCGAACGUGAAAUCCCCGAGCUCAACUCGGGAACUGCGUCCGAUACUGGCGGGCUUGAAUCCGGAGAGGGAUGCGGAAUUCCAGGUGUAGCGGUGAAUGACGUAGAUAUCUGGAGGAACACCGGUGGCGAAGGCGGCAUCCUGGACCGGCAUUGACGCUGAGGCGCGAAAGCUAGGGGAGCAAAGCGGGG